CUUGAACGCUGGCGGCAUGCCUUACACAUGCAAGUCGAACGGCAGCACGGGAGCAAUCCUGGUGGCGAGUGGCGAACGGGUGAGUAAUAUAUCGGAACGUGCCCAGUCGUGGGGGAUAACGUAGCGAAAGCUACGCUAAUACCGCAUACGAUCUAUGGAUGAAAGCGGGGGAUCGCAAGACCUCGCGCGAUUGGAGCGGCCGAUAUCAGAUUAGGUAGUUGGUGAGGUAAAGGCUCACCAAGCCGACGAUCUGUAGCUGGUCUGAGAGGACGACCAGCCACACUGGGACUGGGAAACGGCCCAGACUCCUACGGGAGGCAGCAGUGGGGAAUUUUGGACAAUGGGCGCAAGCCUGAUCCAGCAAUGCCGCGUGCAGGAUGAAGGCCUUCGGGUUGUAAACUGCUUUUGUACGGAACGAAACGGCGAGCUCUAAUACAGCUUGCUAAUGACGGUACCGUAAGAAUAAGCACCGGCUAACUACGUGCCAGCCGCCGCCGUAACAC
rnacentral:rRNA from 1 species